GUUCAUCCGGUCGUUGUCGUGUACUUCCGGUUGGGCUCUGGUUUAAAUGUAAGAUUAACAUAAACAGACAUAAAACGAUGCAAGUAAGUCGACGCUGUUUGGACAGAAUAUUCUCGAUCGUUCUUGUGUUCGUGGUUCUGCUGUCCUGGGGCUUCGUCAUCUACGGCACACGAAUCGCCGCCCAAUGGGAGCUGGAGAAGAGGGAACAGAUCAAGACGUGAAUCAACAACAAACAUGACUUCCGUCGAUACAGACUCAUCUAAAGCCCGUAUCAGAGGAAACACCCUUAAACCAGCAGAGAUCUGGAGGUCCAGACUGAAUCAACGCCAGAACUGUGUUUAGAAUAAUGUGUGAUUUAUUUAUAUUCCUCUUCUUGAUUUGUUUUAUUCAACGAUGUAAAUACUUCAAUUUUUAAAUAUAUAUUUUUCAAACAGAAAGUGUUUUUCUUAUUAAUAUUUGAUCUAACACUGUAUUUUUUUUUGUCAGAUCCUAAGAAAAAUAUUUAAUAAAAAAUGUAAACAUG